CAGCAGUUAACAUAAAUGUGUAAGCCAAGCCUCUUUGUUGAAUAUGAGAACAACAAAUUGAUUUAAAAAAAUCAAGAAUUUCUUAAACCAACUUUAUCGUACUUAUCAUUGGUUGCGAUCAUUUAUCCUUAUUACUUAUAAAUGUCAUAAAUGUAACACAUCUAUAAUAGUUUGUAUUUUCAUUUUGUGACUUGGAAUACACUUUU
rnacentral:lncRNA from 1 species